UACGGGGGGGGCAAGCGUUGUUCGGAAUUACUGGGCGUAAAGGGCGCGUAGGCGGCCCUCUAAGUCAGACGUGAAAUCCCACGGCUCAACCGUGGAACUGCGUCUGAUACUGGAGGGCUUGAAUCUGGGAGAGGGAUGUGGAAUUCCAGGUGUAGCGGUGAAAUGCGUAGAUAUCUGGAGGAACACCGGUGGCGAAGGCGGCAUCCUGGACCGGUAUUGACGCUGAGGCGCGAAAGCUAGGGGAGCAAACGGG
rnacentral:rRNA from 1 species